rnacentral:rRNA from 1 species
AUGGAAGUUUAGAAACUAGUGGCGGACGGGUGAGUAACGCGUGGGUAACCUGCCUCAGUACAGGGGGAUAACAGUUAGAAAUGACUGCUAACACCGCAUAAUAUAGCGAAACCGCAUGAUUUUGCUAUCAAAAUAUUUAUAGGUAUGAGAUGGGCCCGCGUCUGAUUAGCUAGUUGGUGGGGUAAAAGCCUACCAAGGCGACGAUCAGUAGCCGGCUUGAGAGAGUGACCGGCCACAUUGGGACUGAGACACGGCCCAAACUCCUACGGGAGGCAGCAGUGGGGAAUAUUGGACAAUGGGGGAAACCCUGAUCCAGCCGACGCCGCGUGAGUGAAGAAGUAUUUCGGUAUGUAAAGCUCUAUCAGCAGGGAAGAUAAUGACAGUACCUGACUAAGAAGCCCCGGCUAACUACGUGCCAGCCGCGGC